GAAGUUGUGGCUCAGUGGUAGAGCACUUGACUAGCAUGCAUGAGGCUCUGGGUUCACUCCCCAGCACUACA
rnacentral:tRNA from 1 species